rnacentral:rRNA from 1 species
CGCGUAGGCGGCUUGGCAAGUCAGACGUGAAAGCCCCGGGCUUAACUCGGGAAUUGCAUCUGAAACUGCUUUGCUUGAGUCCUGGAGGGGAUAGUGGAAUUCCCAGUGUAGCGGUGAAAUGCGUAGAUAUUGGGAGGAACACCUGCGGCGAAGGCGGCUAUCUGGACAGUGACUGACGCUGAGGCGCGAAAGCUAGGGGAGCGAACGGGAUUAGAUACCCCGGUAGUCCUAGCCGUAAACGAUGGGCACUUGGUGUUGGGGGUAUUGAGUCCCUCGGUGCCGGAGUUAACACGUUAAGUGCCCCGCCUGGGGAGUACGGUCGCAAGACUGAA